CGGGGGAACUGAAACAUCUAAGUACCCCGAGGAAAAGAAAUCAACCGAGAUUCCCCCAGUAGCGGCGAGCGAACGGGGAGCAGCCCAGAGCCUGAAUCAGUGUGUGUGUUAGUGGAAGCGUCUGGAAAGGCGUGCGAUACAGGGUGACAGCCCCGUACACAAAAAUGCACAUACUGUGAGCUCGAUGAGUAGGGCGGGACACGUGGUAUCCUGUCUGAAUAUGGGGGGACCAUCCUCCAAGGCUAAAUACUCCUGACUGACCGAUAGUGAACCAGUACCGUGAGGGAAAGGCGAAAAGAACCCCGGCGAGGGGAGUGAAAAAGAACCUGAAACCGUGUACGUACAAGCAGUGGGAGCACGCUUAGGCGUGUGACUGCGUACCUUUUGUAUAAUGGGUCAGCGACUUAUAUUCUGUAGCAAGGUUUAACCGAAUAGGGGAGCCGAAGGGAAACCGAGUCUUAACUGGGCGUUAAGUUGCAGGGUAUAGACCCGAAACCCGGUGAUCUAGCCAUGGGCAGGUUGAAGGUUGGGUAACACUAACUGGAGGACCGAACCGACUAAUGUUGAAAAAUUAGCGGAUGACUUGUGGCUGGGGGUGAAAGGCCAAUCAAACCGGGAGAUAGCUGGUUCUCCCCGAAAGCUAUUUAGGUAGCGCCUCGUGAAUUCAUCUCCGGGGGUAGAGCACUGUUUCGGCAAGGGGGUCAUCCCGACUUACCAACCCGAUGCAAACUGCGAAUACCGGAGAAUGUUAUCACGGGAGACACACGGCGGGUGCUAACGUCCGUCGUGAAGAGGGAAACAACCCAGACCGCCAGCUAAGGUCCCAAAGUCAUGGUUAAGUGGGAAACGAUGUGGGAAGGCCCAGACAGCCAGGAUGUUGGCUUAGAAGCAGCCAUCAUUUAAGAAAGCGUAAUAGCUCACUGGUCGAGUCGGCCUGCGCGGAAGAUGUAACGGGGCUAAACCAUGCACCGAAGCUGCGGCAGCGACGCUUAUGCGUUGUUGGGUAGGGGAGCGUUCUGUAAGCCUGUGAAGGUGUGCUGUGAGGUAUGCUGGAGGUAUCAGAAGUGCGAAUGCUGACAUAAGUAACGAUAAAGCGGGUGAAAAGCCCGCUCGCCGGAAGACCAAGGGUUCCUGUCCAACGUUAAUCGGGGCAGGGUGAGUCGACCCCUAAGGCGAGGCCGAAAGGCGUAGUCGAUGGGAAACAGGUUAAUAUUCCUGUACUUGGUGUUACUGCGAAGGGGGACGGAGAAGGCUAUGUUGGCCGGGCGACGGUUGUCCCGGUUUAAGCGUGUAGGCUGGUUUUCCAGGCAAAUCCGGAAAAUCAAGGCCGAGGCGUGAUGACGAGGCACUACGGUGCUGAAGCAACAAAUGCCCUGCUUCCAGGAAAAGCCUCUAAGCAUCAGGUAACAUCAAAUCGUACCCCAAACCGACACAGGUGGUCAGGUAGAGAAUACCAAGGCGCUUGAGAGAACUCGGGUGAAGGAACUAGGCAAAAUGGUGCCGUAACUUCGGGAGAAGGCACGCUGAUACGUAGGUGAAGCGACUUGCUCGUGGAGCUGAAAUCAGUCGAAGAUACCAGCUGGCUGCAACUGUUUAUUAAAAACACAGCACUGUGCAAACACGAAAGUGGACGUAUACGGUGUGACGCCUGCCCGGUGCCGGAAGGUUAAUUGAUGGGGUUAGCGCAAGCGAAGCUCUUGAUCGAAGCCCCGGUAAACGGCGGCCGUAACUAUAACGGUCCUAAGGUAGCGAAAUUCCUUGUCGGGUAAGUUCCGACCUGCACGAAUGGCGUAAUGAUGGCCAGGCUGUCUCCACCCGAGACUCAGUGAAAUUGAACUCGCUGUGAAGAUGCAGUGUACCCGCGGCAAGACGGAAAGACCCCGUGAACCUUUACUAUAGCUUGACACUGAACAUUGAGCCUUGAUGUGUAGGAUAGGUGGGAGGCUUUGAAGUGUGGACGCCAGUCUGCAUGGAGCCGACCUUGAAAUACCACCCUUUAAUGUUUGAUGUUCUAACGUGGACCCGUGAUCCGGGUUGCGGACAGUGUCUGGUGGGUAGUUUGACUGGGGCGGUCUCCUCCUAAAGAGUAACGGAGGAGCACGAAGGUUGGCUAAUCCUGGUCGGACAUCAGGAGGUUAGUGCAAUGGCAUAAGCCAGCUUGACUGCGAGCGUGACGGCGCGAGCAGGUGCGAAAGCAGGUCAUAGUGAUCCGGUGGUUCUGAAUGGAAGGGCCAUCGCUCAACGGAUAAAAGGUACUCCGGGGAUAACAGGCUGAUACCGCCCAAGAGUUCAUAUCGACGGCGGUGUUUGGCACCUCGAUGUCGGCUCAUCACAUCCUGGGGCUGAAGUAGGUCCCAAGGGUAUGGCUGUUCGCCAUUUAAAGUGGUACGCGAGCUGGGUUUAGAACGUCGUGAGACAGUUCGGUCCCUAUCUGCCGUGGGCGCUGGAGAACUGAGGGGGGCUGCUCCUAGUACGAGAGGACCGGAGUGGACGCAUCACUGGUGUUCGGGUUGUCAUGCCAAUGGCACUGCCCGGUAGCUAAAUGCGGAAGAGAUAAGUGCUGAAAGCAUCUAAGCACGAAACUUGCCCCGAGAUGAGUUCUCCCUGACCCUUUAAGGGUCCUGAAGGAACGUUGAAGACGACGACGUUGAUAGGCCGGGUGUGUAAGCGCAGCGAUGCGUUGAGCUAACCGGUACUAAUGAACCGUGAGGCUUAACCU
rnacentral:rRNA from 1 species